AUUUUAGCGGCGGACGGGUGAGUAACACGUGGGCAACCUCCUUGUAGAUUGGGAUAACUCCGGGAAACCGGGGCUAAUACCGAAUAAUCCAUUUUGCUUCAUGGCAAGAUGUUGAAAGGCGGCUCGGCUGUCACUACGAGAUGGGCCCGCGGCGUAUUAGCUAGUUGGUAGGGUAAUGGCCUACCAAGGCGACGAUACGUAGCCCGACCUGAGAGGGUGAUCGGCCACACUGGGACUGAGACACGGCCCAGACUCCUACGGGAGGCAGCAGUAGGGAAUCUUCCACAAUGGACGAAAGUCUGAUGGAGCAACGCCGCGUGAGUGAAGAAGGUUUUCGGAUCGUAAAACUCUGUUGUAAGGGAAGAACACGUACGAGAGUAUACUGCUCGUACCUUGACGGUACCCUUAUUAGAAAGCC
rnacentral:rRNA from 1 species